GGUGGCCUAGUGGUUAGAGUGCCCCCAUCGGAUGAGGGAGGUCGCGGGUUCGAAUCCAGACAUACCA